CCUCUGCCUGAUCACUGAGCCACAAUGACUCGCCUGCUACACUUCCUCUUGACCCUCUCCUUCUUUACUUGGGAGUCCAGUGGGGAGAUUGUCCUCACCCAAACACCAACAGAGAAGUUUAUAUUGUCUGGAGAUAGCGUCACCCUUCAGUGUCAGACCAGCAGCACCAUUGGAUUUCAGAAUGUCUGGAGGGACAUGCAGUACAGCCUGGCCUGGUACCAUCAGAGGGCUGGUGAGGCUCCUAAACUCCUAAUUCACUUGGCCACCUCCCGCAGAUCUGGGGUUUCCGGUCGCUUUAGUGGGAGCGGAGCAGGUACAAGCUUUUCACUCACCAUCAAUGCCAUUCAGCCUGAAGAUGCCGGACGUUACUACUGUCAGCAGUACAGGGAGACUCCUCUGACACGGUGA